CAGUGGAACAGACUAUUUCAGGAACCGAAUAUAUUGUAACAGCGGCGCUGCUUUCAGCGUGAGCAGAUGAGAGCGAGUCAGAGCAGAUCAGCACAGACCAGACAGUUUCUCCAGAAAAUCCAUUGAUAUAACUGGAAAUGUGAAUGAGUGCACUGAAAGUGGAGCUUUUGAAGUCGACGCGUCAGCCUGAAGUGAUGUCGUCGGAGACAGAGAAGAGAGAGAGACGGAGCGGAUCCCAGAGUGUUGAAGCACUACCGAAAGGAAAAGGACAGUGAUUCCCAAACCACAGAGAAAUUAAUUACUGUUGAUGAGUAUCAAGCACAACCUCGACAGAGACUCAGAAGAGGCUGAAAAAAUGGAGGAAAACGAAAAAUUGAGAAACAAUGACAAAAAAAGCUACCAAAUCUGUUAAAUGAAGUGAAGAUGGCCCUGAAGUCUCUGUUUGUCAGCAUCAGUCACAUAACUUGGAAGAUGGGACAGGAUUUGCCACAGAGUAAUUACAGAGCCCUUCCAACAGAACAGGAGCAACGUUGCAGAAAGUGUCCUCAUGUGGUGACCGCCAGCAUUGGUACAGCAAUUAAUGCCAAACUUACUGAAAUUAGAGGGAAGAAAACAAAAACAUCUGAAAACCUUAAUGGUCUUUGAUGAUUGAUAGCCGUGACAGUGUGUUCAAGAUGUUUUGUUGUUGUUGUUGUUGUUGUUGUUGUUGGAGUGUGUUUGUGUGUGUGUGUUUUGCCUUCGCAAAGUUCAGUUUGAUAUCAAGUUGUAAUUUUAAAUUACUCUUGUGGAGUAUAAUUUGAUUGUCUUGUUGAUUGUGUUGAAAUAAAAGUAUUUCUAAUGUAAA